CGCCCCUUUCACUAGCAAAGGCGGGUGCCUACACGUCACCCGCUGGGAAGGGCUUCGUCGUCUUGGUGCCCUUCCGCUUCUCCCAUUUGCGCUUGCCUCUCCUCCAUGCUGGAUCGUAACUGUUUGCGGCCACCGCCCUAUCCCUCUCCCUCCCCUUCUCCUUCUCUCAUAGAUACAGCGCCUACGGAGGUACGUGUGAGCGCUGCGGAGGCGCAGGCAAGCGGCGCUGCGGCACCAGCACAAGAAGGCAUCCAUAAAGAGCGUAUGCGUGGUAACGCCUCUAGUAAGGGUAUGCGAAUCACACACCUUGGCGACGCCCGCCGGCGCACGUUGGCACACACUCAAGGAGACUCGACGACGAGCACAGCGGAAGUGCGCCGGCUCUCAGUCCUCUUCGUCCGCUCGGAGCUGUCGGAGGACCGCCGCGACGAAGCCUCCACCCCUGCACCCGGUGCGGCAGCACCCGGCGACGCCGACGUUGUCGAUGUGGACACGUUCAAUAGCACCGAUUCGGACGGGGAGGAAGACGUGGGUCGUUUCGCCGUUGUGCCAGCGCACACGCCGCGUGUUGGCCACCUGUCCCUUCGCGACGCCGUCGUUCUUUCGUAUCGUGGCGCCAGUGAUGACUACGUGAUGCACCACCGCACGGUGGCCGCGUCUUGUGGACACGGCGCACCGCCGUCGCCCGUAGAUGAGCUUUUAUCCGUGGCAACGGAAGACAGCCGUGUGCUCCUCCGCCGAAGCGGGCUGACCACAGAGCCACGCACGUCGGACGUCCCGGCUGUGCACAUGUGGCGCGGAUGCAACGAUGGCGACGACGAAGAGGUGCAGCAGGGGGAAAGCAGAGCGUCCACGUGCCAAUCACGCGGUGGCGACCAGUUUUUUGUGUGGGAUGACUGUGCUAGAUCAUUGUCGGACGUACCCCCUGCGCGCCUCUCCUCUGUGAUACCGACAACCGUCUCCUCGGCCCGCUGGAAGCAAGAGUCCAGCGUGUUGCUCGAGCACGCGCGCGGCACUCUGCACCGGGUGCAUCCCCGCUGCGGCACCUUCAGUGCCACAGUGGGCAGUCCAUCACCGGCCCAGCAGCGUCCGCUCGGCUCUAGCAACGCCUGCGGUCGUUGCCAGGCAGACUUCGUGGCUCUCUCCAUGAACUCGUUGUCAUUGGUCCAGUCGCGCGAGUAUGGUGCCGACCUCGCUGCGAUUCACCACACCGCCUUUGCGUGCGAAAUGAGCGCUAACGCGAUUUGCAUGGAUGACUGGGGCCCGCACAGUACAGUCGUCGGUUUCUCGGAUGGGACGCUGCGCGUGGUGGACUGGCGCAUGCCCGCACGAGGCUCCUCCCUACGCGCAGGCGACGCUGCUGCCAACGAUGAAGAAACGCACGUUGCGCUCUGCACGCAUGUGCCGCAGCCGUCGUGGAUGAGGCAUGGUGGUCGCUCGACGGCCGCCGCUGCAUCAGUGGCGGGUGUGUUGUCGUGUUGCGCCUUCGAGGACAGCUUCCGCGUGGUCUGCGGACUGGGAGAUGCCUCGGGUGCCGUGGUGAUGGCCGACCUUCGCCGCCCCGAAAGCGGAACCCGUCUCAGACGUCGUCGCACGCGCGCGGAGCAGCAGGCGGCGCAGCACCUCUUCGCCGAAGCCGGCGGACAGAGCCCUACGGGGCGCGCUGUGACAGACAUUCAACGCGACCCCUCGUGCUUUGGCCGUAUCGGGCUCGUCGAUGUGACAGGAAGGGCCGCCUUGACCACUGUGGCUGCGUUGGAGGUCAGCGUCGGCAGCUCAGCAGCGGUCCUUCGAAAGCGCUGUCGCACGAAGGACAGGGCUAGCGUGCCUUCAUAUCUCGGCCCCACCGCCGCUGCGCGGCCGCGUCUUCCACCGCCGCCGUCGCCGUGGUCAGUCUUGGAGCGCCUGGGAAACCUGUCGCCGACUGCGUCUCGGUCGGCGGUCUUGACGACCAUCUUGUACAGCAUCCGUGGUGACCCCCAGCGCCCUGGCAUUUACACUGUCAACGCACAAGGUGGGUCAUUUCGCACCCCCUUCGCAGCGCACCCGCGGCCACGUUGCGCCUUCAGCGACGACGGUCGUCACUUUGCGCACAUAGCCACGAAAAGUGCCCUCGCCGCCACCCUGCGGUGUGCAGGUGUGCGAUCUGGUGCCUUGGGCGGCGGCCCCUCUUUUUCUUCUCCUCCCGGCAUCUCUGCGACACAUGUGCAGUUUGCGCCAAGCACAGCGAGCGGGCAGGCAGCGCGGACGCCUUCGCCCCUCAUCGCCGUUUCGUGUGUAGACGGGCUCCUCUGCUUCGACACCGGAGACGGGCACACGCUCGCGAUGCCGAUCGCGUGAGGAAGACGAUUCGCUGCCUCUGUCGCGGGCCGCCGCCGCCUCCCCCACACCCCCCCCCGCCCCCAGACUUCAGCGCUGAAAAAGAAACAGAAGAAUCAGUGCGUGCGCGCACACCCCGCAGGCGACAAGGCUACCGUUGGCGGUGGAACGACGGUCUGCGCGCGCAUCAUCGGCGGAGAAAAAAAAAAAACAGCAAAAGGAAAAGAAAAACGCGGAAGCUUCACCCAUGCAGCGCUGCGCGGCUGCCGCUCGCUGCGCGUAUCGCGGACGUACUGUGAGAAGGCACCGGUUGCAUGAUUGGGCGUCUUUGGCACCCCUCAAGCUUGCGAGGAGAGGGGAGGGGGAAAGGGCCGUACGCCACCUACGCGUGGGAGCCCUACCAAAGCAAACGCCACGCAAUGGCUU
rnacentral:misc_RNA from 1 species